rnacentral:snRNA from 1 species
GGAUGUGAGGGCGAUCUGGCUGUGACAUCUGUCACCCCACUGAUCGCCAGGGUUGAUUCAGCUGAUCUGGCUGGCUAGGCGAGUGUCCCCUUCCUCCCUCACCGCUCCAUGUGCGUCCCCCCCAAAGUUGCACGCUCGGUCAAAGAGGACGGCCUUCCCCGAAUAGAGACGGACUGGUCUUCAGUCACGGGUAUACAAGUAGCUGUGCUCCCCUGCUAGAACCUCCAAACAAGCUCUCAAAGAGACUGCUAAAACAAAGAGGUUAGGGGUUCAGGAGGCAGUGCAGUGGAUAGAGUGCUCAAGCACCAGGUCCCAAGUUCAAACUCUAGCACCCCAUCUGCCAGAGUGAUGGCCUGGU